UGGAAAGUUUCGUGUCUGGCGUUGGUAAGGCGUGCGUUAGCCGUCGUUGCUCGUCCGUUUGACGGUGCGCGCUCGCUGUGUGCUUGUGCGACGCGAUGUUUUACGACUCGGGAUGUUCGUGCAUAGUGCUUUGUUGUUCGAAUACUUCCAGAACACGACCCGGAAUAUAUGUGCCGGCCCCCAAAAGAACAACAGGGCGGAAGCGUUUUUAAAGUACUCCGGAACGCCAAACAGCUGAUUGGUGCGCCCAGAGAAAAGCUGAAGAAUUGCAGAAUCGGCGCAUUUCAAGAAGAGAUGCCAUGAAUCCUCCGAUACCAUCUGUUCAUUUUCUUCGCGUUUAUCAUCACUAGUUUUAUGAAAAUCAACGUUUUUGGAAAUGUAGUCAAUAAAGUGCGGCCAAUAUUAGUUGUGGUA